UCUGGUGAACUAACCCUUGAAAGAGCAGCCCACCACGUACAUGAAAAUUUGUGAGGCCACUGAUGAAGAACAGGUGGUGACUGGGAUGAAUGCUGGUCAAAGAGGAGAAUGUCCUUUCCCCCAAACUGAUGCAACCGUGGUUUUAAAGGAGGAGGCUGCCCUGGAUAAUGUAAAAGAUGGCACAUGCCUUUGCUGUGCUGAUGGGGCUUCUUCAUGACUACAUCAAUUAUCCUAAAGAGAUCAUGAAAAUUGGCAGCGAUGCCUGAUCUGUAUUCAUGGACUAUGAAACAAACUGUAAGUGUAUAAUUUGUAAAAA